rfam:Clostridium colicanis DSM 13634 CLCO_contig000016, whole genome shotgun sequence.
UCGUGCUAGACGGGAAGUUAGCGGUGUCCUGUACCUGCAAUCCGCUACAGCAGGGUUGAACUCCUCGUCGAGGCUUUAAAGUGUGAGGCCUGGCUUAUACAAGUGACGUUGAGAAUUGGGCCCCACGCAACGGAAACUCAUGAACCCCGUCAGGUCCGGAAGGAAGCAGCGGUAAGUGAGACCUUUCGUGUGCCGUGGGUCAACCUGGUUUGAGUUAACUGUAUAAGUAACGCUCAUACUUUACUGUCGACACGAGGUGCACGA